GUGUGUGUUUGUUUUUUUUUCUGUGUGUGUGUUUGUUGUUGUUGUUGUUUUUAAAAAGCCACGAAAUUCAUUGAAAGCGAGCGGAGCGCAAAAAAAAAGGAGCGCUAAAGGAUCCCAGCCAAAUAUAUAUAAUAUGAUGAUGAGCUGCUGCAAAUGAGACAACAACAGGAACAAGAACAACAAAGAGCAGCAGCUACUUGUAACUAAAGUGACAUGAGGCCUUAACAAAAAAA